UAACUACUCCCUCCGCCUGGAAAUACUUGUCAUCAAAAUGGACAAAAAGGGAUGUAUCUAAAACUAAAAUACAUCUACAUACAUCCCCUUUUAUUUAUUUUAAUGACAAGUAUUUCCGGACGGAGGGAGUACUAG
rfam:Triticum aestivum genome assembly, contig: Triticum_aestivum_CS42_TGACv1_scaffold_499559_6BL